rnacentral:rRNA from 1 species
GAGCUUGCUCCUCUGAUCAGUGGCGAACGGGUGAGUAACACGUGAGCAACCUGCCCCAGACUCUGGGAUAACAGUUGGAAACAGCUGCUAAUACCGGAUACGAGACGGAGAGGCAUCUCUACCGUCUGGAAAGUUUUUCGGUCUGGGAUGGACUCGCGGCCUAUCAGCUAGUUGGUGAGGUAAUGGCUCACCAAGGCGACGACGGGUAGCCGGCCUGAGAGGGCGACCGGCCACACUGGGACUGAGACACGGCCCAGACUCCUACGGGAGGCAGCAGUGGGGAAUAUUGCACAAUGGGCGAAAGCCUGAUGCAGCGACGCCGCGUGAGGGAUGACGGCCUUCGGGUUGUAAACCUCUUUCAGCAGGGAAGAAGCGAAAGUGACGGUACCUGCAGAAGAAGCACCGGCUAACUACGUGCCAGCAGCCGCGGUAAUACGUAGGGUGCGAGCGUUGUCCGGAAUUAUUGGGCGUAAAGAGCUUGUAGGCGGUUUGUCGCGUCUGCAGUGAAAAUCCGAGGCUCAACCUCGGACUUGCUGUGGGUACGGGCAGACUAGAGUAUGGUAGGGGAGACCGGAAUUCCUGGUGUAGCGGUGGAAUGCGCAGAUAUCAGGAGGAACACCGAUGGCGAAGGCAGGUCUCUGGGCCAUAACUGACGCUGAGAAGCGAAAGCAUGGGGAGCGAACAGGAUUAGAUACCCUGGUAGUCCAUGCCGUAAACGUUGGGCGCUAGGUGUGGGGCUCAUUCCACGAGCUCCGUGCCGCAGCUAACGCAUUAAGCGCCCCGCCUGGGGAGUACGGCCGCAAGGCUAAAACUCAAAGGAAUUGACGGGGGCCCGCACAAGCGGCGGAGCAUGCGGAUUAAUUCGAUGCAACGCGAAGAA